AUUGAACGCUGGCGGCAGGCCUAACACAUGCAAGUCGAGCGAGCGGCGGACGGGUGAGUAAUGUAUGGGGAUCUGCCCGAUAGAGGGGGAUAACUACUGGAAACGGUGGCUAAUACCGCAUACCAUCAGAUGAACCCAUAUGGGAUUAGCUAGUAGGUGGGGUAAAGGCUCACCUAGGCGACGAUCCCUAGCUGGUCUGAGCGGAUGACCAGCCACACUGGGACUGAUGAACGGCCCAUAGUCCUACGGGAGGCAGCAGUGGGGAAUAUUGCACAAUGGGCGCAAGCCUGAUGCAGCCAUGCCGGGUGUAUGAAGAAGGCCUUAGGGUUGUAAAGUACUUUCAGCGGGGAGGCGUUACCCGCAGAAGAAGCACCGGCUAACUCCGUGCCAGAAGCCGCGGUAAGAC
rnacentral:rRNA from 1 species